rnacentral:rRNA from 1 species
AGUGAACGCUGGCGGUAGGCCUAACACAUGCAAGUCGAACGGCAGCACAGUAAGAGCUUGCUCUUACGGGUGGCGAGUGGCGGACGGGUGAGGAAUACAUCGGAAUCUACUUUUUCGUGGGGGAUAACGUAGGGACACUUACGCUAAUACCGCAUACGACCUACGGGUGAAAGCAGGGGAUCUUCGGACCUUGCGCGAUUGAAUGAGCCGAUGUCGGAUUAGCUAGUUGGCGGGGUAAAGGCCCACCAAGGCGACGAUCCGUAGCUGGUCUGAGAGGAUGAUCGGCCACACUGGAACUGAGACACGGUCCAGACUCCUACGGGAGGCAGCAGUGGGGAAUAUUGGACAAUGGGCGCAAGCCUGAUCCAGCCAUACCGCGUGGGUGAAGAAGGCCUUCGGGUUGUAAAGCCCUUUUGUUGGGAAAGAAAAGAAGCAGGUUAAUACCCCGCUGUUCUGACGGUACCCAAAGAAUAAGCACCGGCUAACUUCGUG